rnacentral:misc_RNA from 1 species
GAUGAAGAACGUAGCGAAAUGCGAUAAAUAAUGUGAAUUGCAGAAUUCAGUGAAUCAUCGAGUCUUUGAACGCACAUUGCGCCCCCUGGUAUUCCGGGGGGCAUGCCUGUCCGAGCGUCAUUGCUGCCCUCAAGCACGGCUUGUGUGUUGGGCCCCCGUCCCCCCCUCCCGGGGACGGGCCCGAAAGGCAGCGGCGGCACCGCGUCCGGUCCUCGAGCGUAUGGGGCUUUGUCACCCGCUCUGUAGGCCCGGCCGGCGCCUGCCGACCACCAUCAAUCUUUUUUCAGGUUGACCUCGGAUCAGGUAGGGAUACCCGCUGAACUUAAGCAUAUCAAAAGCGGAGGA